AGGGUUUGAUUCUGGCUCAGAUUGAACGCUGGCGGCAUGCCUUACACAUGCAAGUCGAACGGCAGCACGGGGGCAACCCUGGUGGCGAGUGGCGAACGGGUGAGUAAUACAUCGGAACGUGUCCUGUAGUGGGGGAUAGCCCGGCGAAAGCCGGAUUAAUACCGCAUACGCUCUGCGGAGGAAUGCGGGGGCUCCUUCGGGACCUCGCGCUACAGGGGCGGCCGAUGGCAGAUUAGCUAGUUGGUGGGGUAAAGGCCUACCAAGGCGACGAUCCGUAGCUGGUCUGAGAGGACGACCAGCCACACUGGGACUGAGACACGGCCCAGACUCCUACGGGAGGCAGCAGUGGGGAAUUUUGGACAAUGGGCGCAAGCCUGAUCCAGCAAUGCCGCGUGUGUGAAGAAGGCCUUCGGGUUGUAAAGCACUUUUGUCCGGAAAGAAAACCUCAGCCCUAAUACGGCGGGGGGAUGACGGUACCGGAAGAAUAAGCACCGGCUAACUACGUGCCAGCAGCCGCGGUAAUACGUAGGGUGCAAGCGUUAAUCGGAAUUACUGGGCGUAAAGCGUGCGCAGGCGGUCCGCUAAGACAGAUGUGAAAUCCCCGGGCUUAACCUGGGAACUGCAUUUGUGACUGGCGGGCUAGAGUAUGGCAGAGGGGGGUAGAAUUCCACGUGUAGCAGUGAAAUGCGUAGAGAUGUGGAGGAAUACCGAUGGCGAAGGCAGCCCCCUGGGCCAAUACUGACGCUCAUGCACGAAAGCGUGGGGAGCAAACAGGAUUAGAUACCCUGGUAGUCCACGCCCUAAACGAUGUCAACUAGUUGUCGGGCCUUCAUUGGCUUGGUAACGUAGCUAACGCGUGAAAUUGACCGCCUGGGGAGUACGGUCGCAAGAUUAAAACUCAAAGGAAUUGACGGGGACCCGCACAAGCGGUGGAUGAUGUGGAUUAAUUCG
rnacentral:rRNA from 1 species